AACGAACGCUGGCGGCAUGCCUAACACAUGCAAGUCGAACGAGACCUUCUGGUCUAGUGGCGCAAGGGUGCGUAACGCGUUGGAACCUGCCCUUAGGUUCGGAAUAACUCCCCGAAAGGGGUUCUAAUACCGGCUAAUGUCUUCGGACCAAAGAUUUAUCGCCUUUGGAUGGGCCCGCGUUGGAUUAGCUAGUUGGUAGGGUAAAAGCCUACCAAGGCGACGAGCCAUAGCUGGUCUGAGAGGAUGAUCAGCCACACUGGGACUGAGACACGGCCCAGACGCCUACGGGAGGAAGAAGUGGGGAAUAUUGGACAAUGGGCGAAAGGCUGAUCCAGCAAGGCCGCGUGAGUGAUGAAGGCCUUAGGGUUGUAAAGCUCUUUUACCCGGGAUGAUAAUGACAGUACCGGGAGAAUAAGCUCCGGCUAACUCCGUG
rnacentral:rRNA from 1 species